rnacentral:rRNA from 1 species
AACGAACGCUGGCGGCAGGCUUAACACAUGCAAGUCGAGCGCCCCGCCAGGGGAGUGGCUGCUGGGUGAGUAACGCGUGGGAACGUACUUUUUGGUUCGGAACAACCCUGUGAAACUGGAGCUAAUACCGGAUAAGGCCUAACGGGGAAAGUUUUAUCUCCGAAGGAUCGGUUCGCGUCUGAUUAGCUGGUUGGUAAGCUAACCGAUCAGCAAGGCGUCAAUCAGUAGUUGGUCUGAGAGAAUCGUCAGCCACACUGGGCCUUGGACACGGCCCAGACUCCUACGGAAUGCAGCAAUGGCGGAUAGUGGACAGUCGGCGCAGGCCUGAUCGAGCCAGGCCGCGAGAGUGAUGAAAGCAGUAAAGUUGUAAUGCUCAUUUAUCCGGGAAGAUAUUGACGGUACCGGAAGAAUAAGCCCCGGCUAACUUCGUG